GCCACUUUAGCUCAGCUGGUAGAGCAAUUCACUCGUAAUGAAUAGGUCGAGGGUUCGAGUCCCUUAAGUGGCUCCA
rnacentral:tRNA from 1 species